CGGCCUCCGCCGAGGCUGCUGGGUCCUGCGGAGCUCCGAGCACGUGCGGUGCCCAGCUGCCGAUCUGAGGCGAUGCCUGCCCUGGCUAAAAGAAGUAUUGAUCCACAACAAGGGUGCACGUGUGGUUCUAGAUCUGAAUGAGAUCUGCGUUCAUCAGGACUUGAGGUUUCUGACAACACCGUGUUUUGAGUAAUGUAUGUGAUCUCUGUAACGUAGAGGGACUUCAGAUGGGGAAAGUUGAGUUUGCUCUGAGGAUUACAGAACUGUGAUGUAAUUCCAGAGAAUGCUUGUAAAGCCCAGCUACGCUUUGGCAGAUGGGGCAGUGACGGAGCUCACUCAUGGCCACUGAGCUGCAUCUUCAACUAUAAUUCUUAGAGGGACUAGAUGAUGUCUGUGUACAUGUGGCUGGCUACUUGCUAAUUAAAAAGUAAGGGAUUUCAGACAUCUAUUUGAACGGUAGCCAUUUUAGGACAGCUUAGAAUGUUCCAGAAAGUUUAGGAUACUGCUUUUUAAAAGCAAAGGUUUAUAUAAAGAAAGGUUCCUAUAAUGGCCCAGAUAGUAAGUAUUGUUAAUAUUGGCUUUAGUUUUACAACUAUGUUGCUUUUGUGUGAGAAGUAAUGAAUGUAUCAUCAAAUAAAUGAACAUGGUUAUAUUCCAAUAAAACAUAACUGAUGAACACUGACAUUGGAAUUUCAUUGGCAUUUUCAGAGUCAACAUUCCCAAAUAUUUGAAAGUUUGAAAUUUUCCCAAAGGACAUUGACAAAGAGAUAGCAGAGCAGGAUUAGUAACAUUCUGACUGCUGGGUUUAGUCUUGAGGCACUAA